UACAGAGGGGGCAAGCGUUGUUCGGAAUUACUGGGCGUAAAGGGCGCGUAGGCGGCCUGUUAAGUCGAACGUGAAAUCCCCGGGCUCAACCCGGGAACUGCGUCCGAUACUGGCAGGCUUGAAUCCGGGAGAGGGAUGCGGAAUUCCAGGUGUAGCGGUGAAAUGCGUAGAUAUCUGGAGGAACACCGGUGGCGAAGGCGGCAUCCUGGUCCAGCACCGACGUUCAGGCACGAAAGCGUGGGGAGCAAACAGG
rnacentral:rRNA from 1 species